AUUGAACGCUGGCGGCAGGCCUAACACAUGCAAGUCGAGCGGAUGACGGGAGCUUGCUCCUUGAUUCAGCGGCGGACGGGUGAGUAAUGCCUAGGAAUCUGCCUGGUAGUGGGGGACAACGUUUCGAAAGGAACGCUAAUACCGCAUACGUCCUACGGGAGAAAGCAGGGGACCUUCGGGCCUUGCGCUAUCAGAUGAGCCUAGGUCGGAUUAGCUAGUUGGUGGGGUAAUGGCUCACCAAGGCGACGAUCCGUAACUGGUCUGAGAGGAUGAUCAGUCACACUGGAACUGAGACACGGUCCAGACUCCUACGGGAGGCAGCAGUGGGGAAUAUUGGACAAUGGGCGAAAGCCUGAUCCAGCCAUGCCGCGUGUGUGAAGAAGGUCUUCGGAUUGUAAAGCACUUUAAGUUGGGAGGAAGGGCAGUAAGCUAAUACCUUGCUGUUUUGACGUUACCGACAGAAUAAGCACCGGCUAACUCUGUGCCAGCAGCCGCGGUAAUACAGAGGGUGCAAGCGUUAAUCGGAAUUACUGGGCGUAAAGCGCGCGUAGGUGGUUUGUUAAGUUGGAUGUGAAAGCCCCGGGCUCAACCUGGGAACUGCAUCCAAAACUGGCAAGCUAGAGUACGGUAGAGGGUGGUGGAAUUUCCUGUGUAGCGGUGAAAUGCGUAGAUAUAGGAAGGAACACCAGUGGCGAAGGCGACCACCUGGACUGAUACUGACACUGAGGUGCGAAAGCGUGGGGAGCAAACAGGGAUUAGAUACCCUGGUAGUCCACGCCGUAAACGAUGUCAACUAGCCGUUGGAAUCCUUGAGAUUUUAGUGGCGCAGCUAACGCAUUAAGUUGACCGCCUGGGGAGUACGGCCGCAAGGUUAAAACUCAAAUGAAUUGACGGGGGCCCGCACAAGCGGUGGAGCAUGUGGUUUAAUUCGAAGCAACGCGAAGAACCUUACCAGGCCUUGACAUGCAGAGAACUUUCCAGAGAUGGAUUGGUGCCUUCGGGAACUCUGACACAGGUGCUGCAUGGCUGUCGUCAGCUCGUGUCGUGAGAUGUUGGGUUAAGUCCCGUAACGAGCGCAACCCUUGUCCUUAGUUACCAGCACGUUAUGGUGGGCACUCUAAGGAGACUGCCGGUGACAAACCGGAGGAAGGUGGGGAUGACGUCAAGUCAUCAUGGCCCUUACGGCCUGGGCUACACACGUGCUACAAUGGUCGGUACAGAGGGUUGCCAAGCCGCGAGGUGGAGCUAAUCUCACAAAACCGAUCGUAGUCCGGAUCGCAGUCUGCAACUCGACUGCGUGAAGUCGGAAUCGCUAGUAAUCGCGAAUCAGAAUGUCGCGGUAAAUACGUUCCCGGGCCUUGUACACACCGCCCGUCACACCAUGGGAGUGGGUUGCACCAGAAGUAGCUAGUCUAACCUUCGGGAGGACGGUUACCACGGUGUGAUUCAUGACUGGGGUG
rnacentral:rRNA from 1 species